UUCCACAUCUGCUGGCUCCACCCCGACCCACGGCCCGCAGGAUUCACUGAGUGGAGUUGGGGGAGAUGUGCAGGAGGCCUUUGCACAAGGAGAGAUCACACAUGUGUCCUGAUUGGCUUUCCCAGCUAAGGUUAGCCCAGGAGCGGCCGGGACACAGGAAGCUCAGGCGCAGAGGCGGAGGAGCAAGCUGGCACCGACAAGACAAGGGAAGGUCUUCCCCCAGAGGCACAUUCCUAUCCGUCUUUCUGCUGCACACCUGGACCAGGCUUGCAGGCUGCCAGACUCAUUCAACCUC
rnacentral:lncRNA from 1 species